AGAGUUUGAUCAUGGCUCAGAACGUACGCUGGCGGCACGCCUAAUACAUGCAAGUCGAACGAAGUAGCAAUACUUAGUGGCAGACGGGUGAGUAACAUGUAGGUAUCUGCCCUUUGGCCUGGAAUAACACGAGGAAACUUGUGCUAAUACUGGAUAAGUCUUUACGGAGAAAGCUUUAUGCACCAUUGGAUGAGCCUGCACUUGAUUAGUUUGUUGGUGGGGUAAUGGCCUACCAAGACUUUGAUCAAUAGCUGAUUUGAGAGGAUGAUCAGCCACAUUGGGACUGAGACACGGCCCAAACUCCUACGGGAGGCAGCAGUGGGGAAUCUUGCACAAUGGAGGAAACUCUGAUGCAGCGAUGCCGCGUGAGUGAAGAAGGCCUUUGGGUUGUAAAGCUCUUUCGUCGGGGAAGAAAAUGACUGUACCCGAAUAAGAAGGUCCGGCUAACUUCGUGCCAGCAGCCGCGGUAAUACGAAGGGACCUAGCGUAGUUCGGAAUUACUGGGCUUAAAGAGUUCGUAGGUGGUUGAAAAAGUUGGUGGUGAAAUCCCAGAGCUUAACUCUGGAACUGCCAUCAAAACUUUUCAGCUAGAGUUUGAUAGAGGAAAGCAGAAUUUCUAGUGUAGAGGUGAAAUUCGUAGAUAUUAGAAAGAAUACCAAUUGCGAAGGCAGCUUUCUGGAUCAUUACUGACACUGAGGAACGAAAGCAUGGGUAGCGAAGAGGAUUAGAUACCCUCGUAGUCCAUGCCGUAAACGAUGUGUGUUAGACGUUGGAGAUUUAUUUUCAGUGUCGCAGCGAAAGCGAUAAACACACCGCCUGGGGAGUACGACCGCAAGGUUAAAACUCAAAUGAAUUGACGGGGACCCGCACAAGUAGUGGAGCAUGUGGUUUAAUUCGAAGAUACGCGCAGAACCUUACCAACACUUGACAUGUUCGUCGCGACUUUAAGAGAUUAAAGUUUUCGGUUCGGCCGGACGAAACACAGGUGCUGCAUGGCUGUCGUCAGCUCGUGUCGUGAGAUGUUGGGUUAAGUCCCGCAACGAGCGCAACCCUCACUUUUAGUUGCCAUCAUUUAGUUGGGCACUCUGGAAGAACUGCCAGUGAUAAGCUGGAGGAAGGUGGGGAUGACGUCAAGUCCUCAUGGCCCUUACGUGUUGGGCUACACACGUGCUACAAUGGUAUCUACAACAGGAAGCAAAACGGCGACGUUAAGCAAAUCCUUAAAAGAUACCUCAGUUCGGAUUGCACUCUGCAACUCGAGUGCAUGAAGCUGGAAUUACUAGUAAUCGUGGAUCAGCGUGCCGCGGUGAAUGCGUUCCC
rnacentral:rRNA from 1 species